GUGGGGAAUGGCUGGUAGCAGUUUUAUUAUUAUUUAUGAAUUCAUCAGAAAGGAAUAUUGACCUCUAAUUAAAGCCAGAAAAUUACUCCUGGAAUAAAUUGCUAAAGGUUCCUGUUCACUCUAACCAUGAUUGCAUUAACCUCUUGGAGCAGAAUGAAAUAGUUGGCGGGAGAGAGAGAAGGGAGAGAAAAACAGAUUCAAUUUGGGAGCAACCCUGAUGAUCAAAGAAGAGAUGAGGAAAUUCUCGCGCCUGUAAUUGCGGGCUGGGAGCGCUGCGCCCGCAGUGUGAAGCACAGACCUGUUGUACAAGCCAUGAUGGAUGUGUACCACGUGCUGGCGAAGGACCGUCUCCGUUCACAGGCACGGUUUGCUGCAUAUUUAUUAUGUAUUAUUGUAGUCUUCAUUGUAACCUAGCCCAGAGUGAGGACGGCACUGUGAUUUCCCAUUGUAAUUUCUUAUUUUCAUUCACUCACAGCCCUGAGAAAUGAGGUGAAUUCUUUCAUGAGGGCACUCACAGCCCCUUUAGUUGUACUCUGGCUAUUCACCUGGCUCUAUCUGAUCCGAUGAAUGUAACGAUAAAAGCCCUAAUAUA